rnacentral:rRNA from 1 species
GACGAACGCUGGCGGCGUGCUUAACACAUGCAAGUCGAACGGAAAGGCCCUGCUUUUGUGGGGUGCUCGAGUGGCGAACGGGUGAGUAACACGUGAGUAACCUGCCCUUGACUUUGGGAUAACUUCAGGAAACUGGGGCUAAUACCGGAUAGGAGCUCCUGCUGCAUGGUGGGGGUUGGAAAGUUUCGGCGGUUGGGGAUGGACUCGCGGCUUAUCAGCUUGUUGGUGGGGUAGUGGCUUACCAAGGCUUUGACGGGUAGCCGGCCUGAGAGGGUGACCGGCCACAUUGGGACUGAGAUACGGCCCAGACUCCUACGGGAGGCAGCAGAGGGGAAUAUUGCACAAUGGGAGGAAGCCUGAUGCAGCAACGCCGCGUGCGGGAUGACGGCCUUCGGGUUGUAAACCGCUUUCGCCUGUGACGAAGCGUGAGUGACGGUAAUGUGUAAAGAAGCACCGGCUAACUACGUG